UACGAAGGGGGGCUAGCGUUGCUCGGAAUCACUGGGCGUAAAGGGUGCGUAGGCGGGUCUUUUAAGUCAGGGGUGAAAUCUUGGAGCUCAACUCCAGAACUGCCUUUGAUACUGAAGAUCUUGAGUUCGGGAGAGGUGGGUGGAACUGCGAGUGUAGAGGUGAAAUUCGUAGAUAUUCGCAAGAACACCAGUGGCGAAGGCGGCUCACUGGCCCGAUACUGACGCUGAGGCACGAAAGCGUGGGGAGCAAACAGG
rnacentral:rRNA from 1 species